rnacentral:precursor_RNA from 1 species
ACACACCCUCAACUUCUUAUUCAAUAUUCCUUCACACUAUCUUCUUCUCUUCAUGAGGGUUUAGCAAAGGGUUGCUAACAGAGUUUAUUGGCAUUCUGUCCACCU